CCCCAGCAGAGGAUGUUAUAUAGGAUGACUGAACGUUUCUGAGCUCUCCUGGUCCUCAGAGAUCAGCGCUGUGCUUUUAUUGGAUUAACGUUGGUUAAUCCGUGUGCACCGUAUGGAGUCUCCGGGACCUGCGUGCAGGACGGUUCUGAAUGUUUUCAUGGCAGACUCUCCGGUUACCGGGUGUCUGUGGGGUUAAGCUGCACCCAUGAGCCAGUGUGGGCCAGUCAGACGGGCGUAAGGAGUUUAUAAUAUUACCUUCACCAUAUGGACCGUCUCACAGGUCUGCGGGUGUCCAGAAGAUCAUGACGGAGGAGCAUGCAACAGGCGGCACAUGCCUGUCCCAAUCAGACCGCAGGAUGACUGUAGGAGCAGAGGGCGGGGCUUAUGUCACCAAGGAGGCGUGGCCUACACAACCACGCCCUUUAUCACA